rnacentral:rRNA from 1 species
CUACGGGAGGCUCCAGUGGGGAAUAUUGCGCAAUGGGGGAAACCCUGACGCAGCAACGCCGCGUGAAGGACGAAGGUUUUCGGAUCGUAAACUUCUUUGAUUGGGGAAGAAUAAAUGACGGUACCCAAAAAACAAGCCACGGCUAACUACGUGCCAGCAGCCGCGGUAAUACGUAGGUGGCAAGCGUUGUCCGGAUUUACUGGGUGUAAAGGGCGUGUAGGCGGGGAGGCAAGUCAGAUGUGAAAUACCACGGCUCAACCGUGGGGGUGCAUCUGAAACUGCUUCUCUUGAGUGCUGGAGAGGAAAGCGGAAUUCCUAGUGUAGCGGUGAAAUGCGUAGAUAUUAGGAGGAACACCAGUGGCGAAGGCGGCUUUCUGGACAGUAACUGACGCUGAGGCGCGAAAGCGUGGGGAGCAAACAGGAUUAGAUACCCCCGUAGUC